rnacentral:rRNA from 1 species
UUAUGCGAUCAUACCAGCACUAAAGCACCGGAUCCCAUCAGAACUCCGAAGUUAAGCGUGCUUGGGCGAGAGUAGUACUAGGAUGGGUGACCUCCUGGGAAGUCCUCGUGUUGCAUUCC